AAGCUGAUGGGAAACGUGUUAAUAUUCACGUACUUGUGUGUUCGCGCGAUGAAGGGACGCAGGAAGAUAGGCAAGCCGGGCGCUGGUUGUCCCGGUGCAAGCGUGUAGGGAUGAGGAGUUGGCAAAUCCGCUUCUCUCUAUCCUGAGACGCGAGUCCGUGCCCGCAAGGGCUGAAGUUGUCGAGUCUAUGCUGCCUAGAAAAGCUUCUAAGUAUAGGACACGCAAACCGUACCGGAAACCAACUCAGGUGGGUGGGAUGAAUAAUCCAAGGCGCUCGAGAGAACUCUGGCCAAGGAACUCGGCAAAAUAACCCCGUACCUUCGGAAGAAGGGGUGCUUUUUAGGGUGAAACGAUUCACUCUGUCGAGCCCUGAAAAGCCGCAGAGAAAUGGUGGUGGCGACUGUUUACUAAAAACAUAGGUCUGUGCCAAGUCGUAUAGACGACGUAUACGGACUGACGCCUGCCCGGUGCUGGAAGGUUAAAAGGAGGAGUCAGCGCAAGCGAAGCUCCGAAUUGAAGCCCCAGUAAACGGCGGCCGUAACUAUAACGGUCCUAAGGUAGCGAAAUUCCUUGUCGGGUAAGUUCCGACCUGCACGAAUGGCGUAACGAUCUCCACACUGUCUCGGCCAGAGACUCGGUGAAAUUGAAGUCGCGGUGAAAAUGCCGUGUACCCGCAGAAAGACGGAAAGACCCUGUGCACCUUUACUAUAGCUUGACAUUGGGAUUUGAGCCUGCAUGUGUAGCAUAGGUGGGAGCCUGAGAACCCUGUACGCCAGUAUGGGGGGAGGCAACGUUGAAAUACCACCCUUGUUUGUUCAGGUCCCUAACUCUUCGCCGUUACCCGGUAAGAGGACAGUGUCUGGUGGGUAGUUUGACUGGGGCGGUCGCCUCCCAAAAUGUAACGGAGGCAUGCAAAGGUUCCCUCAGGCUGAUUGGAAACCAGCCGUCGAGUGCAAACGCAGAAGGGAGCUUGACUGCAAGAGAGACAUCUCGAGCAGGUACGAAAGUAGGUGUUAGUGAUCCGGUGAUCCCGAAUGGAAGGGUCAUCGCUCAUUGGAUAAAAGGUACGCCGGGGAUAACAGGCUGAUCGCAUCCAAGAGUUCACAUCGACGAUGCGGUUUGGCACCUCGAUGUCGGCUCAUCACAUC
rnacentral:rRNA from 1 species